GCCUUUACCUCUGCUAGGGUUUGGAGAAGUCGCAGUCUAGCAAGUUCAGCCGCAUUUGUUCCGUUCCGCUUCGCUAAGCCGUUCCUUGGGCUACUGUCCUUCGCCGCUCGAGUAUCGGAAGCUCUAGCUCGCAUCUCCCAGAUGGGCGAGGUUCUCGUGGUCAGCAAGGGAGUGGUGAUUCAGUAGCUUAGCCAUCUGGACUGGAGUCAUUUUAUUUACGAUUUCUUUAGGGCUACGGCCCCUAUAUCGUCUUAUGA